UGAGCCAAGUUUAGGGUUUCUUAAAAACCCAAGCAGUAUUGAACUGAAGAGUUUGAUCAUGGCUCAGAUUGAACGCUGGCGGCAGGCCUAACA
rnacentral:rRNA from 9 species